rnacentral:lncRNA from 1 species
UCCAUGAAUGAUGAUGAGAUAGAAGAUGAUAUAUUAGUCGAUUAUUAUGAUUCGAAGGAUCUACACAUCGAGAAAGAUACAAAUAUUGAUGAGUAGAUCUAUAUUCUUUAUUGAAUCUUCUCUUACAAUAAUGAUAUGCGAUAUAAUUCUAUUCAUUAGAAUGUAAUUUAUUUUUUACUAUUAUUGUUCAAUAUUACAUUUAUUUAUAUGUCAAAAAUUAUAGGCAUGGCACUAGGAGACAGACGAUGAUGUUUGCAUUCGUAGCCUACCCCUGAGGCUGAGG